rnacentral:lncRNA from 1 species
UGUGUGGCACUUCAGGCAGUGGAGGACAUGAUGAGGCAAGACAUGUGGGGAGGUUGACCCAUUUGCCUUCUUCAUUGCACCGUAUUGUUUGCGUGGGGAAGCCACCCGUAAAGGCAAAGCCAGCAUAGCACUGGACCAGUCAGUGUUUUGAGUAGUGGAUCAGAUGGGAGGGAGCCAUCUCUGACCAGGAUGAAGUCUUUGUCUGGUUCCAGGUCCAAAUCAACAAUCUGGAAUAUUUGAAGCAUGGCGCCCACACGUGAAGAAAGAAAUACAAAUAUUGUCUUACAAA